UGGAGCAGCGACUCUGGUGAGCAUGAUCCUGGGUGCUUUGACUCUUUUGCUUGUCAUGGUGGUCAUCGGUCUGGGUGCUAAAAUUAGGAAACUUCAGACAGCUGCUGAAGAAAGACAGAAUCCAGGACACACUGAGAAUGUGACCUCUGAUGAACUGAACUACGCAGCAGUGACAUUUCGAUCUAAAGCCAAAAGAAGAGAGCCGGAGCCAAAUG